ensembl:lncRNA
AUGUGCCUUAUCACAGAUUACGCCCCUGAAAACCUUAAUGUUAAAUCAAACGCAGCUAAUAGUAGGACUGAAGCUGUUGUGGAGGUGGCAACAUCCGAGAAUAAACAGGAAGCAAGCUACCUGACAACCUACUGGGCCAACAAGGAUAAAAUGGAGUGUGAUGCAGAGCAUGAGAGAUUUGGAAAAUUAGAAGGAAAGGAUCCUGAAAGCGGUGCCUCCACUGUCUGUGUUACAGGGAUGUCACCACACUUCAGGACAGAUGAAAACCUGAACACGCUGUCUUUUACACAGCUGGGCCUGAAAAUAAUUUUAAUGAAAGCAGUAAUUUUUAAUGUGGUGAUGACAAUCCUUACGUGGAAGAAAAAAGUGAGUAUGCAAAGGGGGUGGUAA